GAAAUGAAAACCUGACUUCUUCCAGGGGAAAUCAGCUGUUUUGAUGCACUUUCAUUCUACAGAAAUUUUGUGAAGGUUGGGUUUAUGCUCCAGGUUGCAAUGAAGAAUAAAUCCUAAAACCUCUCUUAUUUUCAUGCAGCAGGAUUAUCAUUCUUUGGCUCACUCCACAGUUGACAUCAAAGCCAAGUGAAAAGAAGGUGUAUUGGGCUGAAAAUAUUGCUCAGCUAUUAUGCAGAUAAAGCAUUUGGAUAAAUCCUUUGCCUGGAAUGAAAACUCCAUCCGUCAGUGAAGGAACAUAUGCUCCCAGAUUUUACUCUCAGCUCAGAGUGAAGAGCAGCAGACUCCUUCAAAGUGCUCCUGAAGAUAAUUUGGCUUCCUAUAGAAUAAAAUCAAUUAGAGCAUUAGUGUGGCUGGCAGGACUUUGUCACAGAGAAUGGCAAUGUUACUGCUGAAUACAAACCAUAUACUUAUACUCAUACUUAGCCAGCUAUUAUUUCCUUUGUUAUAUAGCUAAAUUGAUGACUUUAAGGAAAGAUAAGGGAAUUAAGAAAUAUAGGUAUCUUUGGCUCAUUUUUAACACUUUUGAAGGGCCAAAUGGACAAAAGAAAGAAAAAGAAAGGCAGUGAUGAAAACGCUAUGUUGCUGUAAGGAAGACAAUACGCCAUCUGAAUUAAAUUAAGUGGGAUGAAUUUCGAUUUGAUAUCUGUGGCACAACUGACUUCACUGAGUGCAGUCUCCUCUAUAGAUUGCAUUGAUUCUUCAGUUCCCUAAGACAUGCUUCACUUUCUAAUUUUGAGUGUGCACUGUAGCAAGAAAGAUUUCACUUUGCUCUUCACCAGCAGACACACAGACUACAGGCAGAAAAUGGAAGAAAACACAGAAAUUCCCAUCAGUGCAUAGCAAAUUCCUCUGUAUUUGCAAAACAAAAGGCAUUGUCUUGAAUAUUUCAGCACAAGCAUAUGUGUCAGAAAAAUGAUAUAUUACAAUAGUCUGCAAAAAUGAUAAGAGGCUUUACUAAAUUUCUCACUUCUAAAUUUCUUUCAGAAGAAAAAUUCUACAUGGCUUCACUGUCUUAUUACGAAAUGAGAAAAUUUAGUUCUAAAGUGCUAUUAUUUCCUCUGGAGAUGCAAGGUAAAUAAUAGUUAAAUAUAUGUAGAAAACAAA